UUGGAGGGCAAGUCUGGUGCCAGCAGCCGCGGUAAUUCCAGCUCCAAUAGCGUAUAUUAAAGUUGUUGCAGUUAAAAAGCUCGUAGUUGAAUUUCGGGGUUCUACCGUUGGUCGGGCUUUGUCUGUACUGGUGUGUAGUAUUUCUACCUUCUGGGGAACCAUCAUGCUAUUAAUUUAGCGUGGUGGGAAACCAGGACCUUUACCUUGAAAAAAUUAGUGUGUUCAAAGCAGGCUUAUGUCUGAAUACAUUAGCGUGGAAUAAUAGAAUAGGACGGUGGUCCUGUUUUGUUGGUUUCUGAAUCACCGUAAUGAUUAAUAGGGAUAGUUGGGGGCAUUAGUAUUCAAUUGUCAGAGGUGAAAUUCUUGGAUUUAUUGAAGACUAACUUCUGCGAAAGCAUUUGCCAAGGAUGUUUUCAUUAAUCAAGAACGAAAGUUAGGGGAUCGAAGACGAUCAGAUACCGUCGUAGUCUUAACCAUAAACUAUGCCGACUAGGGAUCGGACGAUGUUAAUUUUUCUUGACUCGUUCGGCGCCUUACGGGAAAC
rnacentral:rRNA from 1 species